rnacentral:misc_RNA from 1 species
GAUGAAGAACGCAGCGAAAUGCGAUACUUGGUGUGAAUUGCAGAAUCCCGUGAACCAUCGAGUCUUUGAACGCAAGUUGCGCCCGAAGCCUCGGCUAAGGGCACGUCUGCCUGGGCGUCACGCAUCGCGUCUCCCCCAAACCGCCAAGGCGGAGGGGAAGGAAGAUGGCUUCCCGUGCCUCACCCGGCGCGGUUGGCCUAAAUUUGGAGCCCGCGGCACUUAGCUCUCGUGGCGAUAGGUGGUGAACAAGGCCUUGGCCGUGCAAACAACCCGCUGAGAAUCUCUAUGUCACGUGCGCUCGUCGGACCCUUUGAAGUUGCCUUCGGUGACUUAAAACCUUUGCGACCCCAGGUCAGGCGGGGCUACCCGCUGAAUUUAAGCAUAUCAAUAAGCGGAGGA